rnacentral:rRNA from 1 species
UAGUCAUACGCUCGUCUAAAAGAUUAAGCCAUGCAUGUCUAAGUAUAAGCGAUUUAUACUGUGAAACUGCGGACGGCUCAUUAUAUCAGUUAUAGUUUAUUUGAUAGUAAUUCUACUACUUGGAUAACCGUAGUAAUUCUAGAGCUAAUACAUGCGUAAACACCCAACUCACGAAGGGUGGUAUUUAUUAGAUAUAAACCAAUUUGCUUUUGCAAUUUUGUGGUGAGUCAUAAUAACUUAGCGAAUCGCAGAGAUUUCGGUCGGCGAUGAAUCAUUCAAGUUUCUGCCCUAUCAGCUGUCGAUGGUAGUGUAUUGGACUACCAUGGCGUUCACGGGUAACGGAGUAUUAGGGUGCGACACCGGAGAGGGAGCCUGAGAGACGGCUACCACAUCUAAGGAAGGCAGCAGGCGCGUAAAUUACCCAAUCCUGACACGGGGAGGUAGUGACAAGAAAUAACAAUACGGGGCCCACCGGGUCUUGUACUUGGAAUGAGUACAACAUAAAUCCCAUAACGAGGAUCAAUU